rnacentral:rRNA from 1 species
CCUACGGGUGGCAGCAGUGGGGAAUAUUGCACAAUGGGGGGAACCCUGAUGCAGCGACGCCGCGUGGGUGAAGGAGUAUUUCGGUAUGUAAAGCCCUAUCAGCAGGGAAGAACAAUGACGGUACCUGACUAAGAAGCACCGGCUAAAUACGUGCCAGCAGCCGCGGUAAUACGUAUGGUGCAAGCGUUAUCCGGAUUUACUGGGUGUAAAGGGAGCGCAGGCGGCGCGUUAAGCCUGAUGUGAAAGCCCGGGGCUCAACCCCGGGACUGCAUUGGGAACUGCCCCGCUCGAGUGCCGGAGGGGCAGGCGGAAUUCCUAGUGUAGCGGUGAAAUGCGUAGAUAUUAGGAGGAACACCAGUGGCGAAGGCGGCCUGCUGGACGGUGUACUGACGCUGAGGCUCGAAAGCGUGGGGAGCAAACAGGAUUAGAUACCCGGGUAGUC